CACGCGGUAAACGAUGAAUGCUAGGUGUAGGGGGUAUCGACCCCUCCUGUGCCGGAGUAAACACAAUAAGCAUUCCGCCUGGGGAGUACGGCCGCAAGGUUGAAACUCAAAGGAAUUGACGGGGGCCCGCACAAGCAGCGGAGCAUGUUGUUUAAUUCGAUGCAACGCGAAGAACCUUACCAGGUCUUGACAUUGAUGUAAACCGCCAGAGAUGGCGGGUGCCUUCGGGCGACAGAAAACAGGUGG
rnacentral:rRNA from 1 species